GUUCAGUUCAGCGAUGUGCCGUCCGCCAUUUUCUCCAAAACAAGAAGAACAAGAGAAGGAAAAAACGGGAUAAAAACGAUUAACUGGCAUCAUUAUUCAGAGUUUUCCCCUUUUUCUCCCUCUGUGUGUCUCUUUCCCUGUCUCUCGCUCGCUCGCCUGGCAUCAUUACAAACCCAGGGCUGCAAAGAUCACAUGAUUUCCUACCAGAAAGCCACAGCAUUCCCAGUAAGUAUUCUGCUGACAUUGUGAAGACAUCUUUUGUUUAAAUCAAAACGUUAGCCUCGGCCUGCUUCCCCCCCCUCCCAAAAUCUGGCACCUUCUGGGAGGAGGUGAGGGGGGGGGCGGCGGUGUAAAGGGUGGUGUUAGGAGUCAUGGCAACCUCUAACUGGAAGGCUGCCCAGCACCCCGAGGUGGGGAGAAGUAGGGGCUAAUAUGGUGUUGAGCAGGAAUGCUAAGUGCCUUCCAAAGUCAACUCUAUGGGCGUGCUGGUUGCUUAAGAUUUCAGCUCAGAUGCCAGAAUGUUUUUGACAGAGUGGAGAGAAAAGACUGGACGCAUGACAAACUAACUCAAAGUGAAGCUGCUGAUAUCUUUAGAUAUCUGUAGAGGACCACAGUAAAGCUAAUCCUCUCUGCUUUUUAAGACGAAUUCAUCUGAAGCACGUGAGCCCGUUCAGAAAACACUACAGAACAUGAUUCCUAAAAAACCGAAGACGUCUGUUUUUUAAAGUACUCGGUUGGAGACUAAAAACAAGGGAGUACUCAAAGACUCAAACAACUUGUAUAAAGUUGGGUUACUAAUAAAGCACAAAAUGACAUCAAAGUUAUUUACCUCUGCAGUGAACAAAUAUGGCAGACAUCAUAUGAAUCCUAUAAAAACAAGAAUCCAUGCAGAAAUACCUCUUUUCAAAUAGAUCUGAUUAGAUUAAAAAAACAACUGAUUUGCAAGACUUGUUUAUUUGGCAAAAGAAAGCUGAGGGUUUUGUAUUUCUUAAUGUGGUCUGUGCACUUUUUUAAUGAAACUUUUGAUGUUGUUUAAAGAUUUUUUUUUUUUUUAACUUAUCAAAAACCCUUUGCUCAUUAUAACAGGAAUAUUUAAAAAUCUGAAACAAGUUCAAGGCCCAAAUAACUUUCCUUUUUUGUUGCAUAUAUUUGAUAAAUUUCUAUUGUACUGAUUUUUUGGGGGGUUUACCAUCUUGAGAAAUAACUGUCCGACAUCAUGUUUCUUUGCUGUUUUCUCGAAAAGCCGAAGCAUUACUCUGCCGCAGAUGUUGGCUAACUUCCUUUCUUUGUGCAACUUUGUUCUCCGUGUCACUCCACCUUUUAUCCUCCCGGCACUGACAGCUUACUUCAGUCGUGAGAGGUACAACUGCUUUACAGAUGAGCAGUGUUGUCUGUUAAGAAUAUUUACAUUUUAUUACUAAACUCCAACUAUAAAACAAAAGUUAGACAAAGACAAAAUGCAUGCUUCACUUGGGUCAACAUGGUAUAUACACCAGCUAGCCUUAACAUUUAGAACAGUUCGGCGAUUUCAUGCAAUCCAAUCCAAUCCAAAAUAGAUCUAUCACCAGUUCGACUUCAGGAGGCUUCUAAAUUUUCAGUUUCCAUGAUCUGAUCUUUUUGGCAUAGCUCGUAUGGACGUAAAAGAUAUCCUGUUGAGUAUGCAAAGUUACAAUCAGAAAUGGCAUCACAGUCAACAACAAGAAAAGGACAGAACAAUGGAUAGCCUAACCCUAACUCAGAUUUAAAAACCAGAAUCUGAGAUUAAAUUCUCAAGUAUCAACAAUAACAGACUUGUCAUUCCAUGCUGAUUACUGUAAGACUUGAGUCAGAACAGUAAGCGGACACAGUCAGGUGGUUUGUUACAAUAACACGGGCACAUGCCGCGGACCUAUGACUCACCAAAGAGCAAGGUAUCCACCAGAGACAAGAUUAAAGUUUGCCCUGAGAGCCUCACAUACGCUGGCUCUCUCACUCAAUUCAACAUCAAAAUGCAGAGCAUCUGCCGCACUCACACAACUCUGGAUAUGAUUAAAAACAGAAAUGCUGUUUGUUAUUAAAGAAGGAAGACUAUGGCAAGUGCUGAUUUGUAUUCAUGCUGCUAUGAUAAUUAUUUUUUGCUUUUUAACUCUUUGUUUCCAUACUGUCUCUGCUCUUAACAGCUAAUAAAUCCAUGAUUAUCUAUUCCACUUUUUUUUUUCUUUUGUUUCACUGCAAUCGUAGAAUAACAGCUUUAAUGUAUUUGACCAAUUAACAACCACUGAAAUUCCAAUGAGCAAGUGUUGAGACAGAGAGGAGGGUAGCUCAGUAGACUACACACAUGAACCACAUAUGGGAAGAUUUACUGUGAGACAGAACAAGCAGCCGCUAUACUUAAGAUAUUCCUUGUGUACAUCUGAGCAGCUUUAUUUCAUAUUUAGUGUUUGUUUAGUGAGUACCGAUGACGAUAACAGAGGGUACGAUUUUGGAGUCACUGCGGGAAAAGCCAAUUGGAAACAGAUUGUUGUGUAUGUUCUGGCAGCCCGGUAAGAAUAAUAAAUUUAAAAAAAAAAAAACAGAGGGACUGUUAAGGAGAAUAAUAAUAAAGUGGAAAAACCAUAUAUUAUUUUAUAGAGAGGACUGCCAGCUUUUCAGUGUUGAUUGCAACGUUAAAUUCGUCCAAAGGUAACGCCUACAUUUUUUUUUAACCUUGUGUUUAUUCUGUCCCAUUUAGCACAUGGUUAAGCUGCCAUAUUGUCCUGCUGCCAACAAAAUGUGAAAUACAAACACCAUUAGACCUUCGAAUGGCAUGUCAUCUCUCAAAACACUCCAAGACAGCUGAGUAGACAAGUCAAGAGUAAUAUUGUCUAAGUACUUUUAAAUUUAAGCUACCACCAACGAGCUAAGCAUACAGGUGCAGCAAGCAACAGCAUCACAAAAAACAGUAGAGCACUAUUUUUUAACGUGUGAAAAGCUAAAAGACGUUCACACAUUUAGGACUUGUAUGAUGCAGCAAAAGCAACCAAACUGGAACUCCUGAAAACUACAUUAACCGGGGAUCUCUAGACCUCAGUGAAUAAUCAAACUUUCAAACAUAUUGAAACUGAUUUUGUACAUACACUCCUACCCUUUAAAAGAUGCUCUGAAUUAUUUUGCUGUUGCACACGGAUGCAGAAGUACAUCAUUUAUUUGAGUAACAAAUCUAAUUUCAGGAUCAUAAAGAUUAUUUCGUUCAAUUAAUUUGAAUCCCAAACCAUUGCACUGAUAGGAAUUACUUUUCAUUGUUAGCAUGGACUCAAAAAGUGGUUCAAAAUGCAAAUUAAUGGAAAUUCUAACCUUGGACUAUCUCUGAAAUUCUGCGAUUAAUUAUGACUGAAAAAAUUAAUCAUUCAUGAAAUCUUUGAUGAAAACCAAAAGUUAAACACUAACCAGUAAAAUGUCCCAGACAAGCUGAGGAAGAAGAUACUUCUUUCCCCCGAUGGUUUGUGCACCGUAGCAGAUUUUUCAGACCAUACAGUGGCGACUGUGGUAGUAAAUUAUGUAUUUUUUUGUUUUAGUUUGAUUCUGUAGCAGUGGUGUUGGAUGCACUUGUGUGUAUGUGGCUCACUCUCUCUCUCUCCCUAGAUAGGUGCAAAAAACUCUUGUUAGCCGAUUGGACGAUCUGAUCAAAUAUGGAUCAAAGGUAUGUCUCCCGCUCAGCAGGUGAUAGGCUGGGUUCGGGGUUUUCCCUUUAUCAGCUGCAAGAUGACAUCAGAGACAUGGCACAGGGAUCCCAUUUCCUUUCUCCCCCGACUGGCCAUGCAGCCUUUUGUGAUAGUGUUUGUUGGAUUUUGGUGUUGGUUCUUCUAGGGGUGAAUUGCCAGUUUUUCUAAUAUCCUCUUCUCAUCUUUUGAACUGCUUUACCUCUCAGUCAGAAUCGUUUAUUUGAUAUUUCUGGGCUUUAAUUCACUCUGAAGCUCAUUAAAUUUAGUUCUUUUUUUAUUGUUAAUUAUCACAACUUUUUGAAUAAAUAUUCUUGUGAAUUCACUUUAUAUGUUGAUGGUUGAAAUAAAAACUUAAAAGUCCUGUACCUCUGGAUUGUACUCUAGAGGUGUGUGAGCACAACCCCCAGGAAAGUCUAGUCCAGUUUAAGAAAAUAAAUUUAAGAAAAAAAAUGUAUUUUCAACCACAACAACAUCACGUAAACAUACUAACAGUGACUGUCUACUAUCCAAACAAAGAAAAAGCUUUUUUCAUCUUCAUUGUGCUUAAUGAUUGGCACAAGGACAGCAACUAAGGGGUACAUAUUUGGUUAUAUCGCUUUUAUUAAAUCAUCAUAUUACUUUGAAACAUCAACAUUACACUGAGGCAUACUCAUUAAGUUUCUCUGAGCCUCAGCCUGCUGAUAAUUUGCUAGCUUUGACUAACACUGUGGUUGUAACCUGGUAAUUCUGCUCAUAUUUGAUACCACAUUUUAGAACUGGAGCCAUUUCAAAUACUAGUGUCAGUACUGGAACAACUCUAAAGGAAAGAAAUCACAUUUUUAAUGCAGGCUGCAUCAGCAGAUGUUUGAUAUAUUUGAUUUAAAAAAAUGACAGAAAAGAUAAAUUGACCAUAAAUAUAGUUGGCCAUAAAUUUUCCUUCCACCAAAAACAGAUAAAUCAGCCAAUCAUUACAGCUGUAAGUGGCAUAUGUGUUUAUUGGGGGUUCUGACUGGCUGAGAAGAUGAUUAACCUCAAAGUCCCGGAUGUACUUCAUGGAGACAAACCUCACUUUUAUUCUACUCAAGCUAUACGUAAGUAAAUAAUUAUCUUAGACACCUUCUUGUCAUCUACCAACACAUGAAUUCUUGUUUCAUGGUUAAAAUGAAGCCUUGGGAUGUCUUUAAAAAGCGGCUUAGCUCCUCACCAUUAAACAAAGUCAGCUAACACAGAUCCAAAACAUCCUCCUGCUGGGAGGGUCAUUUCAUAUCCUGGAAGGCAGGAGGCCAGGGUCAAAGUUCAAAUGAGAAUGGGGGCGGUGGAGGACUUCCCUUGGGGAUAUACCAUUGCAAACCAGACAGGGGUGGUGGAAUCAGACAGACCACUCAACUUGGUAAUACAUACGAUGGUGAAAAAUCUAUAGUGAGUGGGGGAAGGGGGGAUAGAGGUAGACACAAAAACACACUGGAUGUGCACCCAUAAGAAGGAGAUUCACCAUCCCAGCUAUCUGAGAAACAAAAACAACAGCACAGCACUGCAAUAACAAAAAAUCAGUGAUGGACCAAAACAACUAUCUAAUAUACCACAGUGACAAAACGUGAACACUUGGGCAAGGAUUCAGUCUUUUCUCACAACAAGGACACACACUAUUAGAAAAAAAUCAAAGACACCAUACAAACAUGCUUAGAUUUAACACAGCUGUAAAACCACAGAGGACAGUAUGUAAGACCCGUCACUACAUCCGGUAUUAAGCUCCAAAUUUAAUUUAAGGAUUGACUACUGGACAAAAGGGUCCUUCAGUCUAACCUUAUUAACUCAUCAGAGACAAUGCUGUUGGACAGUCUUUACAUAUUAUUAUUAAAGGGAUAAUUCAUAGAAUUGCCCAAGCAACUGACCCACAGAGUUUUUAUUUAUAGUUGGACAUACCCUUAAACAAUGAAAAACAAAACAAACAACAAAAACAGUCACAACAGACUGAAACCACAGAAUGAAAAAAAAUAUGUUUUAAGGAUUAUAGUAUACAACCAAAAUAUAAAACAGGCUAUUGUUCAUUAAGAUACGUCUCAAAAUAUGGUGGGAUUGUCUUAUUUGUUAGGUAAAGCAAUCAAAUGCAGACAUUUAUUUCAAAGUGCAAAGUGUGUGUACCUCUCAUGACAUAGACCAGGUAUCACUAACACUCGCUGCUACAAUAGGGUUGAAAGAUGGGAAGACACAGUGAAGAACGGUGCACACAGAAAAAGUCACCCAAAAAUAAAAAUAGAGUUCUAAUGCUUUUCUUCAGACAAUGAUCAUAAAUGCAGUGAAAACAUUGAACUACCAUACAGCCAAGAAAUAUGGAGUCUGAGCAAAAUGAUGGUGAGCCUGAAAACAUCCUCCUAAAAUGUGUGUUUGAGAAUGUAACUAAAAAGUGGAUAAAAGGUAUGACAAUUAACAAACCAGUCAUAUAUCCACUAGACUGCAGGCUGGUUCAGUUAUCACAAUACAAUACUGAUAUAUGCUGACUUCUACUCUCUAAAGGAAAGAUGUGACUCUCAUGUCUAGCCAUUAAGAAAUUGUAGUAUUUAAUUUCAGUAUUUACUUAAAUCAUCUUGAAUAAGUGGUUUAAAUGGGUUAAUUUCAGCUGGUAACAGCUUAUGUCAGUAAGUGAAACAGGUCAUAUUCCUUUUUGUUUUUUAUUCAACUAAAAUAUGAUCAUUCAGUAUAAAUGUUUAUAAGGUAAAAGAUUUAUCAUUUGCAACACUUAAAAUGAUUUUCUUUGUAAGACAAGUGAUCAGCACAUGAAAAAUAUUUUUUCUAAAAUCUAGACUUAAAAGGGUUGACCGACAGCAACAUGUUUUUUUUAAAAAUUUUCAGAUGUCUUCUCAAACUACAUGCUGUAUUAAUCAGGAGGUGUUUAAAAAAUUUAUUUUUAGUCUCACACAUUCAACACAGGAUGUUGUCAUUACCAAAACAGAUCAAACCAGCAGCCAAAACUCAGAAAUGAAGAUAAUUUGCGGUGUUUCUUCUCCACAGGCACACCACAGACAGCGUGUUAUUUUAGGCUGAGCACUUUUAUUUCCAUUAAUUUAAUGUUGCCUCAAGCUGUGACAGGAAACAGUCAACAGGUUAAUGUGCUCUGAAGUUUCAACAGUUCAGUUUAAUGACAGACGUGCUAACACAGCCACUUCACAGAGCUGGAGAGCGUGACUCGAUUUGCCAAGAAUAGAAGAAAAGAGCAUGCAAAGAAUGUUUUGGAUAACAUCUCUGUCCUGAGGUACUAUGCAUAUUCAGCAAAAAAAAAAAAAAAAAAAAAAACACAGACACUGAUUGACCAUGAGAGAGAAAGCUGAAGCUGCAUACAGAUUUCCCCUGCAGAGAAGCUGAGCCUCUCUGUGCCCUCAUCUGGCCCCUCUCUCUGGGUGUCCCUCUCUCUGUUCAGCCACUUGAAACAGUGCUGACAAAGAAAAAUAAUUCCUUAGGAUACCAACAUUUGUUAACAUAGAUGGCUAGAUGCAAAAACUCGAUAUAAGAACAUUGGCACAUUCCAGGUUAUGCAUUUUUUAGUACCUGCAAAAUGAAUUUGGAAGACUUUUAUGAGCCCUCUGUGUGCACGAGUACAAAUGUACAGCCACCUGUGUGCAAACAUUACAAAGGAUGCAGCUCAACUGGUGCAAAAGUCAAAAUGUCUUUUUCCUAUAGCAUAUUUCAAAACCAGAGUUCUGCUUCUGAUUGUCUUUGCUUCAAAUUUGACUCGCUUAUGUGCUCAAAUGUUGACUAAAUAGCUCAGGGUGACAGCAAUAAUGUUUUGCGACUACUAACCGAGGGUGUAAUGUUGCUUUAAACAGCAAACAGAGCUUUUCCAAGCAGCCAGUCAGGGCGAUGACUUUGCCUGACCCACCUGUCUGUUGAUCCUGCUGCCUAGCACCAGACUAAACACUGACAUUUUUACUAAGGCUUAUUGGCUGCAGCUGACUAACCACCAGCCAAUCAGCAUGCAGGAAGGGAUGGUUGGAGGCUGAGGAACAGACUGUGAGAUUGGAGGGGAGAGGAAGAGGCUGUGCAGAGACAACCAAACCUCAUGCAAACUCCCAACGAGAAAGCACCAAGCACGAAGAAAAAAAAUCUGCACCAAAGUGUUGUUUUUUUUUCCCUGCUGCGUCUUUCUGGGUCACACUCUGCAUCCUAAAUUAACGGCACUUUGUGAAAGAAGUAUGUGCAGUUUUUGCCAGGGUAUCUAAUGCUGAUCCAUAACAAUAACAAAGUAAAGGGCGUCUGUUUCUGAAAGGCACAGAAUUGAUAAGCUGGUCUCAGAUGAGGCUGCCAUCAGACCGUGCUUUUACCGUCGCAAGAGGAGAUCAAUACUUAAUGAAUUCCAAACGGCGGAGUUUCAGAAACAUAAAUGUAUCCUACACUCGAGUGCAUAAAGUAACCCCUGCGGAUCGAUGAAUAUGACAUUACACACAGCCAGAGGAAUGCAUCUUCUUAAUUGACCUGAGCAUUUUCAAAUUAAUUCAAACGACGAUUAAAAUGGAUCGGACUGUGCCGCACCUUCGUCCUGGAAUCUCUCUGAGCGUUUUACUGUGUGUGUGACUCACCCCGUGACCUCGGCCUUGUGUUUUAAUUACCGCUGUCUGCUAUCAGGCAGCUCAGACGAUACCACAAAAAACAACAGAAGAAUGAAAGGCUUGGUUUAGCAUUUACAUAGAGAUGGAAUUAGCUUUAUACACUGAUAAGGGGAGCACUGUCCUCUAAUCAAAUGUAAUUAAAAAGUACACAGUUGCUGUACAGAAAUGUUUCUGAGCCAAAGAUGCUGGAAAAACUGUUUGUUUUAUAAAUAUGGAUGCCCAAAGGAAACGCCUACGUGGCUACACUCCCUGGAGUAGGAAGUGGUUGUUACAGAAUGCUUUAAUAUUAUAAUUUGCAGUGUUAACACCUCAGACAAUCACAAAGAGAGGACAACUUCCUAAUUUGUCUUUUAUAGUAUUUACCUGAUUUCACUAUGUUGAUAAAAAGUCAAGUGAAGAGGAGUUAUUCCGAGUGUUUUUUUGUUGGCAUGUGGUAUUAUUUAUAGUUUUGAUUUUCAGAUUUCUCUGUGAAUAAUGAUGUGUUGCAGCCAACAUAUUUGGUUAUGUUUUUUGUUUCAUAAUUUGACCAUCAUGUACUUUGAUGCUUUGACAAAAAUGCUGCAGAAACUUUUGGUUUAGAUCAAAUAAAAUUGAAUUGGCAGGGUUUUCUUGCACAUAAAAGUCAGAGGCAGCACCCUCAGUCUAAAUGACUUACCACCUCAGGUGUUUUCAUGAGGAGCUGAUUUUUUUCAGACAGUGCUCAGUAAAUUUGCCAUUUUUACAGCAACUGCGCCUUACAAUGGUGUAGAGGCCACGCUGUUUCAGAAAAGAUGCUGUUAAAAGGAUAAGUGACAAGUUUUCUGCGGAGCUCUUCUUUGCUUUUAGCUAACGGCGAGGAUGUCUCUACCCAUAAACAAAACUUCUCUCAUAGUUUGUCUGUCUCUCUCUUUCUCUUCGGCACCAUCAAUCAGACCUGUAUUGAUUAAAACUCAACGCCCUCACGUCUUGGUUAGAGCAUGUUACAUCUUGGCUAUACUGAAAGGCUCCAACAUGUAUAUUUUAGAAGUAUACCAAUUACUUACAAAAAGGAUAAAGACAAAAUAUUGUUUCAUGGCAAGUUGGUGGAUUAAUUCCUGAAGGAUAACCCCCAGACCAAUAGACUAAAUAUUUCUUAAUGAUUUUGCCGCUAGAUGUGAAUUAACACAUUAUGUUGUAUUAAAUCAAGCUUUCAUGUAAGUUUGUUUUUACUGUGAAUGUACAAUUACGUAUUACUACUGUUUAAAUAUAUUGCAUCUAUGAGUUCGGUUACACAAGUAUGCUGGAGUAUGCACAUAGUAUCUCUUUAGCCCCAUUUUGAGCCAGGAAACACUCUGGUUAGGUCAAUGUUAUGAUGUUACUCAUACCGUCUGCCAUUUGAGGAGAUAAUUGAGCUGGAAACAGACAAUUGCUCUCGACAUUAUCAUCAAAACAAAACAAUUUAAACAGAGGCUAAAUCAGACCAGAGUAUGAUUGUUAUUAGUUAAUUUUUAAAUAUACAAGAUGACGAUAAAACUAGGAGAGGAUAAGUGCAGGUGAGGGGCUCAUAAACACAACUCGCUCAAUUAGCUUCACCCACGAAUCAAGGUUAAAACAUUACUUAUUCAAAGAAACCCUGUAAUGAUGUUUCAUUAUGGCAAACAAAUAUGAUAGAAGAAUAUAAAAAGUUCAAAACAAGCCUUUUGUGAGGAAACCUCAACAAAGGUUAUUUGAGGAAACACUGCUGUGUUUUCCCCACAUCAAACCAGGAGACUGUUAUCAGCUUCUCCUGGCUAUAAGAUCUCAGCGACAGGUGUGUCAGUUUCAAAGAAAGUCAGACCAUUAGACAGCACAAAUAAUUUUCAACAGGCUAUCUCUAGAGCAGCGCCCCGUAAUCGACUACAUUAAGGAUGACUCCUCAUUUAGGAGGCAGAGCAGGCAGUUAUCAUAAUGAUACCUUUUCUCUGCGUGUCCUCACCAAAUGCUUCUCCAAAGAUAAUCCCUCUGCACAACCUCUCAUUAUCAAAGCAAUCUCCAGACAAUGGCGAGAAGAACACUGGAAACGACGUGAAUUAGUGUAGGACUAUGGAAAUGAUUGCAGAUUCAAGACUUUAAUUAGGCUCUUGCAAAAACAAUCAGACACAAUUAGGUGGGACCAGUCAAUAAGUUCAACUCAUAAGCAAGAGCAGAUGAAUUAAUGUUUGAUGAUUCUUAAAUGGCUAUGUGAGCUCAGAUGCCUUUCACUCACAGUUGGAUGCUUGAUGGUGGAAAGAGUCCACAGCUCAUAUUGUGGCUAAUAAAAUAGAUGACUUGCAGGUAAAUCAGCAGGUGCAUCAGCUCUGCCUUCCAAUGAAAACAGCCAUUAGUUUGUAAUUGACUUUCUGAGCACUGUCUGAGUGGGUCCAGAAACGCACUCUGAAUUUAUAAGACACCCACAGAGCCUCUUUCCAGCUUCAUUGAGGUCAAAGAAAAACUUAAACGCGAUAUUUUUUUAACUUCUACAGGAGAGGUCUGUCAAAUUAUGUCAAAACUUAAUGAGCAAGAUUUGUUGUUCAGUCUUCUUAAAGCUACUGUGAGAAACUUAUGUUUUGCAGUUUUUGGCAGCCCCCUGGGGACAGCGAAAGACCACAGUUGGCUUCUGCCAGUGGUUUUGGACUUUAAAGAAGGGGUAUUAUUUUCAUGUUCAGUCUUUAGAUUGUCUUCCUUCUGGUGUUAUUCAGAGAUUUACACAAGAACACAAGUCUGUACUUAUCUCAGACUGGUGUUCUUCUUAAACUCUUCUUUUCAGCUACUGCCUCUUUAAGCACAAAAAAACACUCUGGAAGCUUCCUCCGUUGUUGCCAUGGUACAACGUUGAUGAUAUUAAGCUAACAAGGGUUCCGCUAUUUAAACUGACUGUAUGAGCAGACGUUUUAAACCCCACAUCGACCCCUGGGACUACACAAACACAUAUGUACCUCACAUUUUGAUCAGUCCUUAUAAAAUAGCAAUACUCCACUUUAUGCUGAUGGUCCAGUUUAUUUUUGUAGGAAAUGAAGCAAUGUCAAUAAUAACAUAAGUCUGUUUCAUAACAAGCAAAAAACUUUUCAUGGGAGCUUUAAAUACAACAAAUAUUAUUUAUUAUUUUGACAAACACAUUUCAGUAGACAGUUAAUCAAAGUCAUGUCAAAGUAGAGAACAAACCCUCAUCUUUUUGGGUUGAUGAGACACAGAGUUAAAACUAUAAAUAAGAUUAAAUCAUUUGGAAUAUGUUCUUUUUUAAUAUUUUUCCCAAACUUCACCUGAUUGAUAGUUGCUUAAAUCCUCACACCAUUUUAAACGCUAGUAUUGACAGGGGCUGAAAUUAAGUAUGUCAAAUCAGCUGCGCCUGUAAGUCGCUAAACACCUUAGUAAAGUACACAUGAAUGUAAAUGAACUAGUGUUGGCUAAGCAAGCUAUUCUGUGAUUUUCUGACUGAUAGACCUACGACACAAACGUAUUAGCAUCAUAGGCUAAUGGUUAAUAAACAAAUAAGCUCCGGGGUGUUGGUGCUAAAGGUGUAUAUGCAAAGCGGUAGUGCUACCAUGGAAUGAGAAUUAAACUUCACAGAGAUUGCUUUGAACGUGUUUCGCUGGUUUAUUGUCGGUAAAAUGUUCCAAAACUUUAGAAACUUUGGGUCGGAGUUUUCAAGCCUUUUCGUCUGUUUGUUUUGCUCAUAACUCAUGCGUUCUUCUUCUGUUUCCUUGUGGGAUGUAAACAGAGAGCAAUACUGCCCACAGCACCUACUGUAGUGCACCGCAGUCACAGACAAGCAUGAGGUGGCUAGUGUGUGAUUUACAGCAACAAUAACAAGAUGAGUUGACCCUCAAAUUUUCCACAUCAACAAAUUUUUGUAGUCGACUUAAUUGACUAUGUCGACUACACUGUGUCCCAAAAGUUCAUGCACCAAAAUGGACAACAAUUUUGUCUGUUUGGCUCCAUAACGAGUUGCACCUGGUCAUCCAGGUGUUGUGAGGUUGUUUAAUUAGUUCACCUGGUUGUAAUAGGCCUAUAAAUUUCUUGGUCAACCAUGGAGCAUGCCACUACAGUGUUAUUAAUAAUUAUCAAUGACCAAUAAUCAAUUUGCAGCUCAAUAAAAAAUAAAUAAUAUUGUACUUUCUGUUUAAUGAGUAUAGAUUAUAUGAAGCAGACCUGUCCGUGUAGUUCUCUUUUAAUCCCGCUGAAUGUCAGGUUAAUAUUUGUAAAGACUCAACAAUCUUUUGCUACUUAAAAUACAGAGCUGCAGUGUCUAUAUUGGGUUACUGAUCUAUGUUGCCACCGUCUUUUUGAAAACUAAAACCGCAGACACAGACAGACAUGCUGCAAACAUCAGUGGGACUGACAUCUGUGUAACUCUGUAUCAUGUAGUGGAUUUAUUGUGCUAGGCCUCUGUGAUCUCUAGCACACAACCAGAUCCAUAUGACACAUGUAGACCAACAGUAGACUCUAUGGUUCAUGAGGAUAUGUGGGACAGAUCGGGGCUAACAGCAUGAAAUCACAUGCAGCUGGACGAGACAAUAAGGUCAGACAUCCGUCCAAUGUUCAUGUUCAAUCAUUCAGAAUUAAACCAUUUGUCUUAAGUUAUUACUCCUUCAGUGAAUUUAGACAAAAGCCUGAACUAUCUUUGCACAGCCUAAAGGCAUGUUUGUUUGAGAGGACGGAGGUGAUAUACAUGACAACAUGUGGCUGCUCUCAGCCCACAACCAGGUCUUCUGACAGAGCACAUGUCAGUCAGUGGUGAGUGCAGGCAGAGAAGCGGGACAGGACAGAGUGGGAUUAUAAAGCAGCCUGGUGUUUCCACUGGGGUCUCCCCUGCUGGGCUACAUGGUCCCAGCUCCCUUUGUCUGCCGUUAACCCGUUAAAUCCCGUGGAAGGGCCCAUUCACAAAUGUGUCACACACCCCGGGGGGGCAUUUUGUGAGGAAUAAUGAUCUUAAAGGGGUUACAUAGCGUUGCCACUGAUUCCAAAGCCCCCCUCCCGUCUCCCCCCUACACACACAUUCAUUUGUUUCACAGGGUGUUUGCGGAUUCAGUGAUUGUCCACUGUUGUCCUAAGUUCUCACAAACACCUUUAGAGACUUUCUAAAGGAGGAUCUCCCAGUGAAGUCAAUCCACACUGACACAGUCAUUGUUGAACAGACUCCUCCAACAAACCUCCAGAGUAGAAGGGAUGACAGAAAAUGUUUCUGCAACAAACCAAGAUCCUUUGUUGGAUGCAAG
rnacentral:lncRNA from 1 species